ensembl:lncRNA
GGGAAACUUAAGAAGGGAUGGUUUCUGACCUGAAACACCCAGGUCAGCUGUCUACACUGCUCAGGCCAUUUUCUCCCUCCUCCCUUUUUCCCAUCUGCUGCUGCUGCUGCUGCUAAGUUGCUUCAGUCGUGUCCGACUCUGUGCUACCCCAUAGACGGCAGCCCACCAGGCUCCCCCUUCUACAGGCCCUAAAACAAGGGGUUUGGGGAAACCAGGAAGACUUCGUCCUGAACUCCUGUCCCUAUGAAUUUGGGAUUGUCAAGUCCUCCAUGACGGCAAUUCACAUCUUCCUUAUUCACACAGCAGCAUCCUGUCCCCAUAUGAACAACUGAAUGAAAUUUAAGACUUUGAGCCCCACCCGAGAGCCCAUGGUUACCAGCUUCCCCGUAGGCCAUCACUUAGGGCAAUUCUUGGUGUCCAGAUGAUGCUAUGAUACAUUCCCCAGGGGCUGGUGGAAUCCUGGGCCGAAUGAACCCCGGCGAGCACUGGACGUGGUCACAGGCACAGAGCAGAGAGAGAACAAGGAUUCGUGUCCCCGAGGGUUUGUGACCCACCCAGGACGCUGUGAACUAACAGAGCCGGCAGCUUGAGAAGAUGCCUGAGGAGAAGGGGGUGGGGGCUGGGAUGAUUUUCUGCUGAAACCAUCAGGCGAAAACCUCAGGAAGCAGGCAGGGCUAGUAGACUGGCCGUAGUGCCUGCGGCCACUCAUCCCAACUCUUCCUGCCACUGCUGGCUCUCUGUCCCGUCACCCACCAUCACCUUGCCGUCUAUCUGCUGAACGAGAGGACAUCCGGCUCUAAGUGGGGGUAGUGAUGAAGCAGUUACAGAGCAUUCACUUAAAACACUGUCGUUUAACUAAACUGCUGACCCUUCCUCACACCGCUGCCUGGGGUUCCCAGAGACCCAUUGUUUUUCCUUGUCUAAAGCUUCAUCAUUCCUGGUCGUGGCUCAUGACACCAACUUAGAGCAAAAUGGACAGGAGCUGCCAGCUACAUCUACACGAUUGUCAGAAAACUGAGAAACCAUAAGAUUUCAGGCAACGGUUACUCACCAUUUCGGAAUACAAAAUAAUGAGUUCCAUGGGCUUCAUCUAUCUAGUCACUACUAUAACCCUGUGUUCAGGAGACAGGAAGUGUCAGUCAUGUCCAACUCUUUGUGACCCCAAGGACCAUAGCCCACCAGGCUCCUCUGUCCAUGGGAUUCUCCAGGCAAGAACACUGAAGUGGGUUGCCAUUCCCUUCUGCAGGGGAUCUUCCUGACCCAGGGAUCGAACCUGCGUCUCCUGCAUUGCAGGCAGAUUCUUUAAUGUCUGAGCCAACAGAGAUAACUGGUAAAUCCUUAUCCCUGAGUUAAUGAAUGAACAGUUAGCACACUUAUAAAAAAUUCUCCAAGUCCGUUUCUGGAUAUUUAUCGGAAGAAAACACAACAGUAACUUGAAAAGAUCUUCACCCUCAUGUUCACUGCAGAAUUAUUUACAACAGCCAAGAUCUGGAAACAGCAUAAAUGUCCAUCAGUGUUUGAAUGGAUAAAGAUGUGCUCCCCACACAAUGGGACAGUAUUUGUUCAGCCACAAAGAAUGAGAUCCUGUCAUUUGCAACACUCGGGUGGACCCCAAGGGCAUUAUGCUCAGUGAACAUCUUUCUGAACAGAGCUUGACCAGAAACCAGAACGGGGCAGCAGAAUUUACCCACAGGGAGCUGGUGACUGCAUCAGGGCCCAGAGGGGACCCCCAGACCAUUGUUCUCAUGAAGGGACCUGGGGCCACAACUGGGGACUUGGACACCCGCUUGGGCCGCACUCGCGUCCAUGUCUACUUGGCAUCGGCUCUGAGCCACGCAGGAAGACCACUCUGAAGAGGAAGUCAUCACUGAGUGACUAAAUGCCUCUGGGUUCAUGUCCAUGAACAGAGCCUCUGUCCUACGGUGGGAAGAUGGAGUGGCAGGGAGGCACAUGGGCACCUGCCGGGCACCAGGGUCAUCCAAACCCACCAGCUCAGCCACCUCCCCAGCCCUCCCCUGGGGCCCACACAGUUGGCUUGUUAGAAAUAAAAUGCAGAUUUUUACUCUUUUCAAUUUCUCCUUUUAAAAUUCAAAUAUCCACUGACAUAGUCGCUCCACAUACUACAGAAAAACAGGGCAAACAGCCCCGGAGAUGUGAGCUGGGGCCCGUGUCACCCCAGUGAAGCAGGGGGCGGCCAGGCC